AACAAUUUGGAAUAUAUUUAUCCAACACCACAUAAGGUCAUAAGGUCAAGAGCAAUGUCACCCUGAAGACCAGGGUAAGACAAGCACAGCACAGGACAGCACAACACAUUCUAUUAUCACUCUGCCUAAGGUUUGAACCCUUGGAAGUAAAGUUUGUACAUGUAUUAAGGUUUUAUUUAUGAAAAAAGCAAUAUCACCCUGGCAACCACAGUAAGACAAACAGCAUAAAUGUUCACUCUGCCCAAGGAUUGAAUCCUUAUAAAUAAAGUUGUUUGAAAGUUUUAUUUAUAAAUAGAGCAAUAUCACCCUGGCGACUACAGGAACAGAAACAUGGCACAGUUAAGUACAUUCUAUUGUCAGCCCAAAAGGUUCACUCAGCCCAAGGACUGAAUCCUUAUGAAUAAAUUUCUUAUUAAAGUUUAAUUUGUAGAAAAAAGAGGUUGCGGAAAAGAGUUAUAUCAGCCUGGCAACCACAGUAAGACACUGAAUCACAGAAAAAUGUUGUGUGUUUUUUUUUGUUUUUUUUGUUUUUGUAUAUUCCAUUUCAAUUCUCAGAUCAAUUACAUAUGACAUAAAUAGACAAUAUAUAUGACACCAUUGGGGAAUGAAAAAAUAGUUGUAAAUUGAGGUUAUAACAGAUAUAUAGAUACAUAAAAUAUCGUUAAAUUUUCUGUAGAGGGUAAAUAAGAAUGAAGGAAUA